rnacentral:rRNA from 1 species
CACGUAGGGCGCAAGCGUUGUCCGGAAUUAUUGGGCGUAAAGAGCUCGUAGGCGGUCUGUUACGUCUGCUGUGAAAACCCAGGGCUUAACCCUGGGCUUGCAGUGGAUACGGGCAGACUAGAGGCAGGUAGGGGAGAAUGGAAUUCCUGGUGUAGCGGUGAAAUGCGCAGAUAUCAGGAGGAACACCGAUGGCGAAGGCAGGUCUCUGGGCCAUAACUGACGCUGAGAAGCGAAAGCAUGGGGAGCGAACAGG